rnacentral:rRNA from 1 species
AUGAACGCUGGCGGCGUGCCUAAUACAUGCAAGUCGAACGGAGACAUUAUAGCAAUAUGAUGUCUUAGUGGCGAACGGGUGAGUAACGCGUUGGUGACCUGCCCCGAAGCGGGGGAUAACAGUUCGAAAGGACUGCUAAUACCCCAUGUGGUCGUAGAGGUUAGAGGCUCUACGUCUGAAGGAGCAAUCCGCUUCGGGAGGGGCCUGCGUCCCAUCAGCUAGUUGGUAAGGUAAUGGCUUACCAAGGCUACGACGGGUAGGGGACCUGAGAGGGUGGCCCCCCACACUGGCACUGAAACACGGGCCAGACACCUACGGGUGGCAGCAGUAGGGAAUAUUGCACAAUGGGCGAAAGCCUGAUACAGCAACGCCGCGUGCACGAUGAAGACCUUCGGGUCGUAAAGUGCUUUUUGGGGAGAUGAGGAAGGACAGUAUCCCCAGAAUAAGGAUCGGCUAACUACGUGCCAGCAGCCGCGGUAAAACGUAGGAUCCGAGCGUUAUCCGAAUUUACUGGGCGUAAAGCGCGUGCAGGCGGUUCGGUAAGUUGGAUGUGAAAUCUCCUGGCUCAACUGGGAGAGGUCGUUCAAUACUGUCGGACUAGAGGGUGGUAGAGGGAGGUGGAAUUCCCGGUGUAGUGGUGAAAUGCGUAGAUAUCGGGAGGAACACCAGUGGCGAAGGCGGCCUCCUGGACCAUUCCUGACGCUCAGACGCGAAAGCUAGGGGAGCGAACGGGAUUAGAAACCCCGGUAGUCCUAGCCGUAAACGAUGUUGACUUGGCGUUGGUGGGGUAAAAGCCAUCAGUGCCGUAGCUAACGCGAUAAGUCAACCGCCUGG